rnacentral:rRNA from 1 species
UACGUAGGGUGCGAGCGUUGUCCGGAAUUAUUGGGCGUAAAGGGCUCGUAGGCGGUUUGUCGCGUCGGGAGUGAAAUCCACUGGCUUAACUGGUGGCUUGCUUUCGAUACGGGCAGACUGGAGGUAUGCAGGGGAGAACGGAAUUCCUGGUGUAGCGGUGAAAUGCGCAGAUAUCAGGAGGAACACCAGUGGCGAAGGCGACUCACUGGACACAUAUUGACGCUGAGACGCGAAAGCGUGGGGAGCAAACAGG